rnacentral:tRNA from 1 species
GCCGCGGUAGCUCAGAUGGGAGAGCGUGCGGCUGAAGACCGCAAGGUCGAGGGUUCGACCCCCUCCCGCGGCA